GCAGUGGAAAGAGAAGCGAAUGGAUAGAUAGAAAGGGGUGUGGAGAGGAGACAUAAGAGAAUGAUAGAUAGAAAGGGGGUGUGGAGAGGAGACAUAAGAUAAUGAUAGAUAGAGGGGGGGGUGUGGAGAGGAGACAUAAGAGAAUGAUAGAUAGAGAGGGGGGUGUGGAGAGGAGACAGAAGAGAAUGAUAGAUAGAGAGGGGGUGUGGAGAGGAGACAUAAGAGAAUGAUAGAUAGAGAGGGGGUGUGGAGAGGAGACAUAAGAGAAUGAUAGAUAGAGAGGGGGUGUGGAGAGGAGACAGAAGAGAAUGAUAGAUAGAGAGGGGGUGUGGAGAGGAGACAU
ensembl:lncRNA